rnacentral:rRNA from 1 species
AUGCAUCGGUUUUCUUGGUGGAAACUUUGUAUCCCCAAAUCUCAAGGAGGCUUAGGAUUUCGUGAUUUUCACUCUUUCAACUUGGCUAUGUUAUCAAAACAAGUGUGGAGAUUGAUUGAGUACCCGGACUCCAUUUGUGCUAAGAUUUUGAAAGCUAAGCAUUUCCCAAAUCAACAUAUCUUAGAUGCGGGUCUGAAGAGGCGGUAUUCUUUUACAUGGCAAAGCAUAGUCGCUGGAAUUCAAACUUUUAAGAGAGGUUAUAUAUGGCGGGUGGGGAAUGGUGCAUCAAUAAAAAUCUGGACAGAUCCUUGGGUACCAACUAGUCCUUCAAGAAAGGUUGUUACAGAGAGAGGAGGCACUUUAAUUGAUAAAGUCUCUGACCUAAUUGAUCCUUUGACUGGGCAGUGGGAUGAGGUUUUGAUCGAUAUAUUUUUUGUUGUGGAUGCGGUCAGAAUCCUCGGGAUACCCUUGAGUCCAUAUAGUUUUGAUGAUUUUGUUGCCUGGCAUUUUAAUCAUCCAGGGACUUUUUCAGUUAGGUCGGCAUACCAUGUGGAAUGGAGACACGAGUUUAGCAAUAAUGCUAACCAAAUAACAUCUUCAUCAGAUGGUACAAACUGUAUAUGGAGUAAAAUAUGGAAGUUGUCAGUUCCCGGUAAGAUAAAGAUUUUCUGUUGGCGAGCACUCCAUGCAACGAUUCAGGUUAAAGCGGUGCUGGUAAACCGUCAUGUUGGAACUGAUGCUAUUUGCCCUAUAAGUCAUGUUGGAUUGGAAGAUAUAUCGCACCUGUUGUUUGAAUGCACUCCUGCAAGACAGUUAUGGAAAUCGUUGAAGCUUGAGGACGGAAUAUUGGGAGCUUUUUCCGUCGAAACAUCUAGUUCACAAAUGUUGGAAGAACUCCUUGAUAACUCAGAUGAUCAAUACCAAAGCCUACAGGGUGUGAGGACAUCGGAGGUCAUAGCAACAACGUGUUGGUAUCUAUGGUGGAUUCGCCAAAGAGCUACUCAUAAUGACAGUGUUCUGCCGCCAACACAUUAG